rfam:Gossypium hirsutum cultivar TM-1 chromosome 13, whole genome shotgun sequence
UAUUAAAAAUUUCAUCCAUUUUUACUAUUAAAAACUAGCGUAACUGACGAAAUAACUAAACAGUUACACGUAGUAUGCCACAUAUACCUUAUGCUAAUGUACAGGGAUCAAUUUUUAACAGUAGAAAUGAAUUUUUUUUAUUA